GUAACUCUUCAAGGAUCAAAAUCUUAUGCUGUACAUGCACAUGAAAUGGUAAGUCAUAAAGAUGUUAAAUAUUAUAUUCAUGAAUUUUAUACAUCGAUUCUAUUUUUUUAAACAAAGGGAUCCGCUUACAAAAGAGCUAUCGGGUCACAUCAAAUUUUCAGUGAGAUGUAUUGUAGCAAUGAACGUGGGUGGACAGCUAAAGAAGUGGAGUCCCAUUAUAUAAGUAGUUUUAUUUGUUAUAAUUGUAUAAUAAAUAUUUCAAAAAUCUAAUAUUUUAUUUAUAAUUUACAUGGAUCCUCAGAAUUAAAUGGUCAACCUUUUACAAGAACAAAAUUCUCAACUAGAUCCUAAUGAACAACACGUGCCUUUAGAAGAAUCUGAAAUAUGUGAGCAAGUUUUGGACAAGAGAUUUAACUAUGUUGAUCAACAGAAAAAUUCAAAGAAGACAAUGUUGGAAAUUUGUGGUACUUGUGCAGAGAAUGUUGCUUUACAGAAUGAGGUUCAUGAUCUUCGUUCUCAAUUGAAAUUUGUCCAAAUAUUCUUUAAGUCGCAUUCCUGAGGAGUUUCUUCGGCCUAUCCAAUCUGAUGUGUCUUCAUCCAAUGGUUUAAAUGGUGAUAAUUUAAUAUGUUUUUUACUUUAUUUUUGGUGACGUAAUAAUGUUAUAUAUUUUUAUUUGAUCGAGGCAAUAGUCUCUAACUCUACAUCUAUUUGUUUUUUACAUUGAGAACACUA
rnacentral:lncRNA from 1 species